rnacentral:lncRNA from 1 species
GUCACAAAAUAAUCGAUUGUGAACUUAUGACAAUCGAUUGUGUUGAGGCAGUGACUUCCAAACUUUUUCAAAAUUAUCAAAUAAUCGAUUGUGAACUUAUGACAAUCGAUUGUCAAGAGGUAGUGUCUAAAUAGAUUUUUCAAGACUGAUAUAUAAUCGACUGUUAACUUAGUAUAAUCGAUCGUAUAACUGACCGUUGCCAAAAUAUUUUCAAAUACCG